rnacentral:ncRNA from 1 species
CAUAACUCCGAGCUAUCUCACCUAAAUCAAAGACAAGGUGUUGUAGCCGUGAAUUUGGCAAUGUUGUCAAUUCGCCAGGGUUGUAAGAGAAAUCGAACAGCCUCCCGCAAGUGCCAUAUUUGAUGUCACUUCACUUUGGAAAGGUGUUAAACAAA